rnacentral:lncRNA from 12 species
AAUUCCAGCAUCUUCAAUGUGACUGGAUCAAAUUAGCCAGGAAGCAGCGGGGCCACUUAUACCACAACUGCAUGCAUCACGCCCUCCGAGGUCAUGUCCCUCCCAUGCAGAGGGAGCGAGCCUGGCAGCCCAAGGCUGUUCUCUUUUGAAACACCUGCUGGUCCUUGCACCAUUUUAAAUGCUGAACUUUUGAGACCUCUGCCGUGCAGCCUUCCAGGCUGCCUCCUUAAGGCGAGUUCAAGUCUCCUCC